CCGGCCGAACGUGGUGCGGUGGAACCGUGAAUACUCCGCGGUACUGGGGCUUUGGGGCUGGUAGCCGGCAGCGGUCCCUUGACCUGCCAGGAUCUUGCUUUGGGCGGCCGGAGAGCCACUAGGGACUCGGUCCCGCGCCACCGCCUUCCGAUUUUAAACCGAAUUUUAAACUUUUCCAGGACGUGUUGUUCAUUGCCCAGCCCUGCGGGGGCGGGAUCUUAUCUCCCUCCUAGGUCUGCCGUGAACUUUCAUGGUGAAGGGUGAAUGGAAGCAAACUCCGAGGGUCAGUUUCCUGGCGGAGCAAUUCAAUGCUUUGUGCCGGUGAGGCGAGGGUGGCCCAGGAUGGUCAAGGAUCGCCCAGCUUCUCCAUUCUCUCCAGCAUUGUCCAUGGCCAAAGAUCGCCCAGCUUCUCCAUUUUCUCCAGCAACGGUCAGGCCCGUGGGCGCAGGAGAUAGAAGCGUAACAGGAGUGAAUUGUGACAGCCAGUACCAUGUUUUGAGCGCCUGCUUACAUGCAACCGGAUCCUCACAGCAAACAAAACUGUAGGAAGUAUACGCUAUUAUCACGCCCAUAUUACAGAUAACAUCACCAAGUGUCAAUUAAGUCACUUGCCAGAGUCACACAGCUAGACGGUCGCUGAAGUUAAAGCUACCAUGAUGGUAAAGGGUGAUACGAGGACCCAGAGAAAGAGUCCUGAGUUUUGUGUGUGUGUGUUUUCUUGUUCCACUCCAGGGGAAAGGUCAGGUCUUCAAGCUGUUGUAGCAAAUGCAGAUCUAGAGGCUUCGGUGCACUGGCAGAAAAUUCCUGAAGCUUGACCCUAUCUCAUAGAAAAGCCACUUGGAUUAUUAAUGCAGGAGAUGCAUGGGAAUGUUUGCAAAACUACAAAUAUCUUGAGAUGGGAAGAAUGAAGGAUGAAUCAUUUGCUAUGAUGUGGAUCUGUGGCUUUCAUCGAGUUCUCUAAAAUCACCAAAAAGUUUAUGAGCCACUACUUUAGGGUUUUGGUGAAAAGUUAAGGGAGUCUUUCUUAUGACCAGGAUAUCCAGUAGCACACCCUGGCCUGAGCUUCUUAACAGAGCACAGAGAUAUGAUAU